UACGUAGGAUGCAAGCGUUGUCAGGAUUUAUUGGGUUUAAAGUGAGCGUAGGCGGCCUAUUAAGUUAGUGGUGAAAACGUUCGGCUUAACCGUAUACCCGCCAUUGAUACUGAUAGACUUGAGUGCGACAGAGGGUGUUGGAAUGUGUGGUGUAGCGGUGAAAUGCUUAGAUAUCACGCAGAACACCAAUUGCGAAGGCAGAUGCCUAUGUCGUAACUGACGCUGUGGCACGAAAGCGUGGGGAGCAAACAGG
rnacentral:rRNA from 1 species